AGGACCGUCAGCGCAGCAUCGGCGCCAGCUGCUGGCGCACUGAGGAAAUCUGCAUGGCAGCAAGCCGUUUGUUGUGGCGUUGUCCCUUUUGCAGGCCCACUGCAGCAUAUAACCCAGGAAAUCAUCGCUUAGGAGAAUGCUCACGAAAAUAUGGGAAUGCUGCUUCAAUAGAAAAGAUGCAUACGGAUUUGACAGUUCAUCGGCGGCGAGGGAUUCUUCAGCGCACAAGCCGGCAAGGGUACAGACAGGAAAACCGCUGGUCAAGAGCUGUGACAGAGUUUUCGUCACAUGCGCUUAAUAAAUCCGCCUGGACUGAUAUGCAUGUCCAGCACACAAAAAUGCUAUGGAUGCGCUAUUUGUGGCGUGUACAUGUUGGCUCACGAGGUUAGAGGCGAGAUACCGCGUCCACGGUCGAAACGGGUCGCCAACCGACCCCCAGUCUGUUCAACAGAAAAAAGCACGUCACGUCCACCGCGGGUAACGGAAAAGUUCCUCUUUAAAAAGCCUAUACCAGACGAGUAGAAGAAUCGAAGCAGAAAACCGGGCAUGAAGCAGCUGAGCCACUUGCCGGCGUUUCCGGUGUGCCACGCGGGCAUUCAUGCCACAGGUCUGCUCAUUGGCGUCGGAACCGCAGAGGGUGAUGUGCUGAGAAAGGGAACGUCAUCGGUUAAUGCCUCAGAACGAAAUGCAAAGCAACUCAUUCAGCUAUGUAAAGAGAGCAACGGAAGGGCGAAUGGAGGUUUAUCCCCCCCUCACGGAGGAUGCCCGGCCGCUACCGCCCAACCAGUUCAUUCAUUCCCGUGAUACGUGUGCUAGCUCUCUCCCUGCAACUGACUUGAUACCUUCAGGCAUCAGGCGUUUUCCAAUCCACUGAUAAACACAGCACAGCUGGUUGCGGCAGGUGGGGGAGCCAUGUCGCGAUGUCUUGCCUACACGGAAGUAGCCGCUGGUGUGUCUGUUAUCCUUGUUGCGGUUUUACAGAAGCGUGCUUCAGUGAUAGGAACAGACAAGACUACUGGUGAGGGAGUUCCUCGCUUUUUGCUUCGUGGCCUUACUCUUGCCACCGGCGUCCCACUCAAUUUAUAGAAGAAUCAGUGUUGACAUGCUCUAACACCGAACUGGAGAUUGGCUGGUCUUGUGCACGAAUACUAGAUGUGAAGAACAGCCUCAGGCCAUCAGAAC
rnacentral:lncRNA from 1 species